UACGUAGGGCGCAAGCGUUAUCCGGAAUUAUUGGGCGUAAAGAGCUCGUAGGCGGUUUGUCGCGUCUGCCGUGAAUGUCCGGGGCUCAACUCCGGAUCUGCGGUGGGUACGGGCAGACUAGAGUGAUGUAGGGGAGACUGGAAUUCCUGGUGUAGCGGUGAAAUGCGCAGAUAUCAGGAGGAACACCGAUGGCGAAGGCAGGUCUCUGGGCAUUAACUGACGCUGAGGAGCGAAAGCAUGGGGAGCGAACAGG
rnacentral:rRNA from 1 species